UACGAAGGGGGGCUAGCGUUGCUCGGAAUGACUGGGCGUAAAGGGUGCGUAGGCGGCGCGGUAAGUCGGGUGUGAAAUCUUGGAGCUUAACUCCGAAACUGCAUUCGAUACUGCCGUGCUUGAGGACUGGAGAGGAGACUGGAAUUUACGGUGUAGCGGUGAAAUGCGUAGAUAUCGUAAGGAAGACCAGUGGCGAAGGCGGGUCUCUGGACAGUUCCUGACGCUGAGGCACGAAGGCCAGGGGGAGCAAACGGG
rnacentral:rRNA from 1 species